rnacentral:rRNA from 1 species
UACGUAGGGUGCAAGCGUUGUCCGGAAUUAUUGGGCGUAAAGAGCUCGUAGGCGGUUUGUCGCGUCUGCUGUGAAAUCCCGAGGCUCAACCUCGGGUCUGCAGUGGGUACGGGCAGACUAGAGUGCGGUAGGGGAGAUUGGAACUCCUGGUGUAGCGGUGGAAUGCGCAGAUAUCAGGAAGAACACCGAUGGCGAAGGCAGAUCUCUGGGCCGUAACUGACGCUGGAGGAAGCGAAAGCAUGGGGAGCGAACAGG